GAUGAACGCUAGCUACAGGCUUAACACAUGCAAGUCGUGGGGCAGCAUGAAGGAAGCUUGCUUCCUUUGAUGGCGACCGGCGCACGGGUGAGUAACGCGUAUCCAACCUUCCCCUUACUAGAGGAUAGCCCGGCGAAAGUCGGAUUAAUACUCUAUGUUCUCCUUUGCAGGCAUCUAACGAGGAGCAAAGAUUCAUCGGUAAGGGAUGGGGAUGCGUCUGAUUAGCUGGUUGGUGGGGUAACGGCCUACCAAGGCGACGAUCGGUAGCCGGUCUGAGAGGAUGAACGGCCACAUUGGGACUGAGACACGGCCCAGACUCC
rnacentral:rRNA from 1 species